rnacentral:rRNA from 1 species
GACAGAGGGUGCGAACGUUGUUCGGAAUUACUGGGCGUAAAGCGCAUGUAGGCGGCAACGCAAGUCGGGCGUGAAAUCCCACGGCUUAACCGGGGAACUGCGUCUGAUACUGGAUGGCUUGAGGUUGGGAGAGGGAUGCGGAAUUCCAGGUGUAGCGGUGAAAUGCGUAGAUAUCUGGAGGAACACCGGUGGCGAAGGCGGCAUCCUGGACCAAUUCUGACGCUGAGGAGCGAAAGCCAGGGGAGCAAACGGG